rnacentral:snRNA from 1 species
AUUGCUUCUCUGCAUUUUGGCUAAGAUCAAGUGUAGUAUCUGUUCUUAUCAGUAUAAGAUUUCUAAAAUUAGUAGGUCAGCUAGUUCCAAAUUAAAAACAUUUUUACAUGCCUAAAGCUUCU